AGGUUAGAUGCUACGGAAAAGGGGACACGGUCACGAUGUCCGUAUCCACUCUUUCUCGUAGAAUCGAACCUCCUUCUUGACAUACGUUGCUGCUCGGCGGAGAACAUCAUCGGAGAGAUGAACACGGUAUGCAAGUUCAACAAGUAUGGAUUUAAAAAACCAUAUUGAAUUUGAUAAGAUAAACCGUCUAGACAAGGUAGCAUCAUUUUUAAACCACUGCAAUAAUGCAUACCAUAUAUGACACAUCAAUCUCCCUCACAUUCUAGCUCAAAAUACCUCUCCAUUUUUCUACUUCAUCAUCACAUUCUAGCAAAUAAUCUUUC
rnacentral:lncRNA from 1 species